UGCAUUCAAGCUCAGGUUCCUCUGAGUUGUAACUGGGCCAGGGAACAGCCUGCCUGAGAGUAAGCAUAGCCAGUGGGUAUGGGUGGCAGAUAUCAGAUAUCCCAUGCUGAGGACAUUGCAACAAAGGCUGGGUCUGAAAGGCUCUGAACAGCAUACAGCCCCCAUUGCAGCAAAAGGGAGCCAGCAGCACUCGGAAAGAAGCAUUCAACAAUAAGCCGGACUAAACAAGAGUUAUUACUUAAUACACAAAGCAACCCAACAUCAGUUCCUACGUUAUUUACUUCUGUUUCCUCUCAUGAUAAGCUAUUGUCUCUGUGCAUGUUGCUUGGGAAUAUUACAUCUUUUGUUCCCAUGCCUCUCCUCUUCUUCUCUCCAAAGACUGACUUCUACUCUGGCAUCCAAGGAUCUGCCUUGGUGGCUCACCAGCAGAGCACAAAGGGGCUGUGCUCACUGCCUGCACCGGAGGGAGGAGAUUAGGCAGCGCUGCUCUGGCCAUCCGGAGUCACACAUAUGGUUCAGCUGUACCAGCCAACUUAGCAGAGCUGGGAGGCUGUUUUCAACAUGAAAAACUGAGCCAGCAAAAACUAGGCUCCAGUAUCUACCAAAAACAUGACUAAACAUCUCCAAUCAUAUAAAAACCACAUGGCCCACGCUCCUGUACAUNGUACUGGGUUUAUACAGCCAGCAACCUGGAUAGGGGCUAUCCAAAGAAACUCACCAGCCUGGGACUGCCCCCCGACGUGCAGCGCGUCGAUGCAGUUUUCAACUGGGGCAGAAACAAGAAGACGUAUAUCUUCUCUGGAGACAGAUACUGGAAGUACAAUGAAGAAAAGAAAAAAAUGGAGCUUGCAUCCCCAAAAUUCAUUGCGGAUUCCUGGAACGGAGUUCCAGAUAACCUCGAUGCUGUCCUGGGUCUUACUGACAGCGGGUACACCUACUUUUUCAAAGACCAGUACUAUCUACAAAUGGAAGACAAGAGUUUGAAGAUCGUUAAAAUUGGCAAGAUAAGCUCUGACUGGUUGGGUUGCUGAACUGUAGAAUAUAUUAAUAACCAAAUAUUUACUUUUUUGUUAUAUACCUUAUCUGUAAUUAGAAAUAGAUCCGAAUGUCAAUUACUGGACCAGUCUGGUACUGGCACCAAAACAUUAAGUACCAGUACUGUACACAUCAGAUAAUUUAAAAGCGUUUGCCUCUUCAACGUACAAAAGAUGUUUACGUAUCUAUUCUGGUACAGUGUUUCAGUUUUUGUGCUACUCAUAGUAAUUCUAGUAACAGAACGCGCACGGUUCUUUAUUUCCCUGGUGCUUGAAGAAAGCAUUGAAAUCAUUGGAGACUGGAUCAGGCCCCUGUGUUAUAUACAUCUCAAAUAGCCUCAAGUAAGAUGUACCAGCAGUGCACUUUGACUUUUUUUUAAGUUUUUUUUUUUUUAAAUACAACUCUUUUAUAAAUAGAUGGUUUGUCUUAAUGUUUUUAACCCUCUUGUGAGUUUGAUCAUUACUUCCAUUUAUUUACAUAAUGAUACAGAAAGACUGUCAAAGGCACAGGUUGCCUCAGGAUUUGAUUUGUAUUGAUGCAUGAUGGAAUCAUGGCAAGAAACUGUAUUAAAGUAUUGUUUUAAAGUACUUUCUAUUUUAAAACCUUAGUUCAACUUAGCAAUUUGCUUCCUGCACUUUGUUACUACUCUAUAACUCGUCUAUACAGACAGAAUGACUCAGAUGUUUUAAGUCAAUGCAUUAUACACAGAAGUCAAGUAUUAUUGUUUACCUUGUUUUAUGUUUCUGUUCUUUAUAAUAUUGAGUUUUUGUUUGGUUAGGCUUUCUGCUUAUGCAUUGGGCAACAGAAGGUGUUCUUUUCACAUGUGAUGGAAUGUUUCUCAUUAAAGAAAAAAAAAGUAAAAAAAAAACAAAAACAGAAAACAAUGUCCCAAACAUGAAAUGCCAGUGGUACAAAUAAAGUUAAAUUACACUGUCAACACUUCUCAUGGCUGUGCUUCCUUGUAUCAUUUGGAAUUAGGAAUUCAGUAGUGAAAUAGCUGUCAAGGGAUGGCCAGUAUUACUCCAGGAUAUAAUGGUGUACUGGCUUCAUUUAGAAAUCCAAGUUAACUUUUCUAUGACUUCUAUAAUAGAACUGCAGCAACUUACAUUAAACAGAUGUGAUAGCCCCAUACUCCUCCAAAGCCCUCUGCCUUUUCAGAACAGUGUACAGCCUAUUAUCCACACUUUUCCUUCUUUAUCAGCAGGCUACCCCACCACAACGUAGAAAGAUACGAUCAGAAUACAAAUUGUAUACAUAUCUUACAGUGAACAUAAGUUUGAGAAACAGAAACUCAAACCUUUACUGCUGCACACGGACCCAACACUGUCUGGCCAAGGAGCUUAUUUAGCUUCACAAACAUGAGGCACUUCAUGCAGCUAUGAGCUACAUCAUGCACCUGGUCAACCCAGCUCCUCAACAUGUCUCUCACUGGGUUCACAGGUCAUAAGACUGGCCAGUAAUCAGUUAAUACUUGAACCAUCAGCUUAUAGCUGAUGUCCUCUUCACACUCAGUGCUUCCCUUUUAUAACUAAAGGGGUAUUUUUGUUGUUGUUUUGUAGGUGGGUUUUAUUCUGUUUUUCUAGUUUUUUUGGUGGUUUUUUUAUUUCCA
ensembl:lncRNA